rnacentral:rRNA from 1 species
GAUGAACGCUAGCGACAGGCCUAACACAUGCAAGUCGAGGGGCAGCACAUGAGUAGCAAUACGAUGGUGGCGACCGGCGCACGGGUGAGUAACACGUAUGCAACCUACCUGUAAGAGGGGAAUAACCCGGAGAAAUUCGGACUAACACCGCAUAAUACCUCGAAGCUGCAUGGCUUUGAGGUUAAAUAUUUAUAGCUUACAGAUGGGCAUGCGUAACAUUAGAUAGUUGGUGAGGUAACGGCUCACCAAGUCAACGAUGUUUAGGGGUUCUGAGAGGAAGGUCCCCCACACUGGUACUGAGACACGGACCAGACUCCUACGGGAGGCAGCAGUGAGGAAUAUUGGUCAAUGGACAGAAGUCUGAACCAGCCAAGUCGCGUGAAGGAAGAAGGUCUUACGGAUUGUAAACUUCUUUAGCAGGGGAAUAAAAGACGAUACGAGUUAUCGUGUUGAAAGUACUUUGACGAAAAGGUACGGCUAACUCCGUGCCAGCAGCCGCGGUAA